rnacentral:rRNA from 1 species
UACGUAGGGUGCAAGCGUUAAUCGGAAUUACUGGGCGUAAAGCGUGCGCAGGCGGUUAUGUAAGACAGUUGUGAAAUCCCCGGGCUCAACCUGGGAACUGCAUCUGUGACUGCAUAGCUAGAGUACGGUAGAGGGGGAUGGAAUUCCGCGUGUAGCAGUGAAAUGCGUAGAUAUGCGGAGGAACACCGAUGGCGAAGGCAAUCCCCUGGACCUGUACUGACGCUCAUGCACGAAAGCCGUGGGGAGCAAACAGG